rnacentral:rRNA from 1 species
CACGCAGGCGGAGGUUUAAGUCGGAUGUGAAAGCCCAGGGCUCAACCCUGGAACUGCGUUCGAAACUGGAUCUCUUGAAUACGAGAGAGGGAAGCGGAAUUUCCUGUGUAGCGGUGAAAUGCGUAGAUAUAGGAAGGAACACCAGUGGCGAAGGCGGCUACCUGGACCAACACUGACACUGAGGUGCGAAAGCGUGGGGAGCAAACA